rnacentral:rRNA from 1 species
GAUGAACGCUGGCGGCGUGCCUAAUACAUGCAAGUCGAGCGAACAGACGAGGAGCUUGCUCCUCUGACGUUAGCGGCGGACGGGUGAGUAACACGUGGAUAACCUACCUAUAAGACUGGGAUAACUUCGGGAAACCGGAGCUAAUACCGGAUAAUAUAUUGAACGGCAUGGUUCAAUAGUGAAAGACGGUUUUGCUGUCACUUAUAGAUGGAUCCGCGCCGCAUUAGCUAGUUGGUAAGGUAACGGCUUACCAAGGCAACGAUGCGUAGCCGACCUGAGAGGGUGAUCAGCCACACUGGAACUGAGACACGGUCCAGACUCCUACGGGAGGCAGCAGUAGGGAAUCUUCCGCAAUGGGCGAAAGCCUGACGGAGCAACGCCGCGUGAGUGAUGAAGGUCUUCGGAUCGUAAAACUCUGUUAUUAGGGAAGAACAAAUGUGUAAGUAACUAUGCACGUCUUGACGGUACCUAAUCAGAAAGCCACGGCUAACUACGUG